rnacentral:misc_RNA from 1 species
GAAGACGUCUAGUUUGUGCGUGGCAACAAAAAGCUAAAGCCUGAGUUCUCUCGGAGAGGAAGAGGAGAUUCAAUGUCAGCUAUAUCUAUUUGUUCCAUUGAUUUCGAUAUGUCAUCAACUGAAAACGGGAUGCUUGAAUCAUCAUCUAAGAGAAAAGAGUUGCUGACUGCUUGAUUUGAAUCUUCAGUCAUCGACACCCUCAUGCUGGAUAUGACCUAGGUUGACUAAUGGCAU